CGGGUGAGUAACACGUGAGGAACCUGCCCCGAAGACCGGGAUAACAGCGGGAAACCGCUGCUAAUACCGGAUACCCCCAUCGGAUCACAUGGCCUGAUGAGGAAAUGGAUUCCGCUUCGGGAGGGCCUCGCGGCCUAUCAGCUUGUUGGUGAGGUGACGGCUCACCAAGGCGACGACGGGUAGCUGGUCUGAGAGGACGAUCAGCCACACUGGGACUGAGACACGGCCCAGACUCCUACGGGAGGCAGCAGUGGG
rnacentral:rRNA from 1 species